AUUAAUAAUACUGUUAGAAGUUUCAUUUUUUUUUAUUUACAAGAAAUGGACUUUUCGGCUUUUUGCUUCACUAAAUGUUUUAAGUAUAUCUUCGUAAUUUAAAUUAUUUGCAAUUUUCGUUUCAAUGGACAAAACUGCUAAUGCUGAGAGUCUUUCUUGUGUCAUCGUAUUACUAUACCUAUUACCAGAAAAUCUUCCUGUGAAACAAAUUGUUGGCCACUUGUAGGGUGCGCACUGGUCUUCUGGGCAAUCCAAUCGAUAAUUUAUUAGAAUAUACAGGAUGAUUCACCAAACAUCUCAACAUCUCACAUUCUCACCCCUUUGUAUUCAUAAAUUAUUUAUGUAUAAAUUCCGGUUUUUAAUUGUUCAUUAUGGCAGAUAAAUCUCAAUGAUUAAUGACCUAAGAAUAUGAAAACGUCAAUGACACUACAAGUGGGUAAGUACUUGCAUCUGUAUUUGCUGUCUACAUCAACAAAAUAAAUAUCAGCUUGACAAUUUACAGUAAAAAAAUGUGUUUUUAUUGCCGCAGUUAACWAGCUAAGUAGUAAAGGUUUUUGAAAACAUGGUGUUUAAGACUUACAAAUUUUAAAAAAAAAAAGCAUAUAGUAUUUCAGUCAGCUUCUUAUACUUAAUACUUAUAAUCUAAG